UACGUAGGGGCCUAGCGUUGUCCGGAUUUAUUGGGCGUAAAGAGCUCGUAGGCGGCACGGUUAGUCAGGUGUGAAAUCUCCACGCUCAACGUGGAGGGGUCACCUGAUACUGCCGAGCUUGAGUCCGGUAGGGGAGUGUGGAAUUCCCGGUGUAGCGGUGAAAUGCGCAGAUAUCGGGAGGAACACCGGUGGCGAAGGCGGCUUGCUGGGCCAGUUCUGACGCUGAGGAGCGAAAGCGUGGGGAGCGAACAGG
rnacentral:rRNA from 1 species